rnacentral:rRNA from 1 species
AACGAACGCUGGCGGCAUGCCUAACACAUGCAAGUCGAACGAGACCUUCGGGUCUAGUGGCGCACGGGUGCGUAACGCGUGGGAACCUGCCCUUAGGUUCGGAAUCACUCCCCGAAAGGGGUGCUAAUACCGGAUAAUGUCUUCGGACCAAAGAUUUAUCGCCUUUGGAUGGGCCCGCGUUGGAUUAGCUAGUUGGUAGGGUAAAAGCCUACCAAGGCGACGAUCCAUAGCUGGUCUGAGAGGAUGAUCAGCCACACUGGGACUGAGACACGGCCCAGACUCCUACGGGAGGCAGCAGUGGGGAAUAUUGGACAAUGGGCGAAAGCCUGAUCCAGCAAUGCCGCGUGAGUGAUGAAGGCCUUAGGGUUGUAAAGCUCUUUUACCCGAGAUGAUAAUGACAGUACCGGGAGAAUAAGCUCCGGCUAACUCCGUG